GGUCAAUGCAUUGAACGCACAAGUAGUUCCAGUCAGUUUAAUCACCGUUCUAAAUUAAUGCGCUGCAUUAUAAAGAACUGUAAUAAUAGUAACAUAGUUACAGUUGCAUACAGAGGUUAAACUCGGCUUCAUUAUUAGUAGAGACACAGCACAGACCCAGCCAUAUGUAACCUCUGGCCAUUGCACUUGUCACAUCAGCAUGCUGCAGCAUGAGGAUUUCCCUUCACUGGAACUACAGGGCCUAAAUGACAAUGCCCCUGCGCACAAAGCGAGGUUCAUAAAGUCAUGGUUUGCCAAAAGUUGGUGUGGAAGAACUUGAGUGGCCUUCACAGAGCCCUCACCUCAACCCCACUGAACACCGCACAGCCUUCAGUUUCACCUGUUGUUAAAAAGAUAAGCCAACAUGAAGAUUAGAGAGCUGUCUAUGGGAGAAAAGCAAGCCAUUUUGAAGCUAAGAAAAGAAGGAAAAUCAAAUCAGAGACACUGCACAAACAUUGGGCAUAGCCAAGACAACAAUUUGGAAUGUCCUGAAAAAGACAAACCACUGAUGUACUGAGCAACAGACACAGAAUGGGUCAGCCAAGGAAAACAACAGCAGCUCAUGGCAAACAUUCUGAGAGCUGUGAAGAAAAACCCAAAAAAACAACAGUCAGCGACAUCACCAACAAUCUCCACUGGGUAUCAGUGAAGGUAUCACAAUCCACCAAUCGAAGAAGACUUAUCAUCAGCAGUAAGAAUAGGAAAGUGAGAUGGGAAUUUACAAAGAAAUACAGAGAUGAGCCACAAAAGGUCUGGAACCAAGAUGAACCUCUACCAAAAUGAUGGAAAGGCUAAAAUAUCGAGAAAUAGAAAAAAUAAAAACAUCAUGAUCCAAAACAUACAAGCUCAUUUGUGCCACAUGGUGGAGGUAGUGUCAUGGCUUGGGCUGCUUCUGGAACAGGCUCAUUCAAUCUUUAUUGAUGAGGGUAGCAACAGAAUGAAUUCAGAUGUUUACAGGAACAUCUUGUCUGCCAAUUUACAGAGAAAUGCAUCCUAAUUAAUCGGGAGGAAGUUCAUGAUGCAGAAAGACAAUGAUCCAAAACACACUGCCAACUCAACAAAGGACUUCAUCAGGGGGAAAAAGUGGAAGGUUUUAGACUGGCCAAGUCAAUCACCAGACCUUAACCCAACUGAGUGGCAUCUCACUUCCUGAAACAAACAACAUCUGAAAGAGUCUGCAGUAAAAGCAUCAUAGUGGGCCAGUGAGUUGCAGACUUGAUACAGUUAUUAAGGGAUGUACUUUAAUUUACUUAUCUGUACAUAUACUUUUGAUCACCCAAAAAUUGGGUGGUCUGAUACAAAACAUAGAAGCUUUUAUGUUGUUUAACACAUCUAAUGUAAACACCAGGAAAUAAAAGCUGAAAUCUUCAACUCUCCUCUCAUAUCCAUCUUUUGAUCUCAAACACAAAUGUCUUCGGUGUAUAGCACAAAUGAACUGGCCUUUCCGUUUCAAUAGUUUCAGAGGGGACUGCAUGUUAAGAGGGAAAUGUGAAUAUAGCCUUAGUAUCCAUGAACCAGAGAGGUGUCGUGUCUGUGAAUGUUUUUUUUUUUUGGUCAAAGUCUUGUUAGCAUUAACUAACACGUGGGACUUUGCCUUCACUUGUCCCUCCACAAUCCUCCUCAGAGCUUCGCUUCCUAGACACCAGAGAAACCUCUUGUUUAACCUCCAGAUCCUGGGUCAGUGCUGUGUCUGAUCUUGGGCUUUCCAGACUGGAAAGGGUGUCCCCUUGAGGUCCGAACUCCACAAGCUGCCCUCUCAGUUCAACCUGCUCCGUCUGGAGUGGAACCCCCAUGAUCUCUAGUCCCGUUAUCCCACCUACUAUAGUCCCCUGCACCUCCACCUGGUCCUGCAAUUGGUCCCCACCGGAGUCAAGCUCUAGCGCAUCUGUGUGGCCAUUCAGUGGAACACUGCUGGCCUGGGAGAGGAUUUCAUGCCUCAGUGAGGCCAGCUGGGCCUGUAGUAGCUCUUUGUGCUGGGUCUGCAGACUGUCCAUCUACAACACAACACAACACAACACAGAGCAUCAAAUCACUAACAAAGUCGAUGCUCUUGUCAACGUGUUUGAUGCGGAAGUGGGCACGGAGUAUAACGGGGUCCUGGUACGCCUCGGCUACUGUACACAGCGGACAGUGCAUGUGCAUUCCUUUCUCACGCCCAGCACACUUGUCGUCCUGGCACAGCACGGACAGAUCAGAAGGGGAGGUUUUCACAGACUGUAACACUACACACUACAGUAGAGCAUGACUAGAGCGCCCCGUGUGAAAAAAAGAAAAAAGAAAAAGGGGAUCAGAAAUGCAACAUGGAUCACGGGGAACCUGGAGUCUAUCCCAGGGAGCAUCGGGGACAAGGCGGGGUACACCCUGGACAGGGUGCCAAUCCAUCGCAGGGCACACUCACAUACACAUUCACACACCCAUUCAUACACUACGGACACCUUAGACAUGCCAAUCAGCCUACAGUGCAUGUCUUUGGACUGGGGGAGGAAACCGGAGUACCCGGAGGAAACCCCCGCAGCACGGGGAGAACGUGCAAACUCUGCACACACAGGGCCACGGUGGGAAUCGAUCCGCCGACCCUGGAGGUGUGAGGCGAACGUGCUAUAGUAGUAGUAGUAGUAUAGUAGCCAUUAUUAUUGUUAUAUCACCACAUAACGAAUUAUAGUAGAAUAAACAACAGAAUUAAGAAACAUUGAGUUUAGAAAUGAUUUAGUUUUAGACCUAUUUAUCAACCUGCCAUUUAUAAUAAACCAGAAAGUUUAGUUCUUUUAAAUCCAUUAAUUUAUUGGACUGAUUGUGUGAUUGACUGAUUAACAUCAUAUUACAUUUGUGCAGCACAACACCAUGUUCCCCCAAAUAGAAUAAAAACAAAAUUAGGUUUACUUGUGUCAGGUUAGCGCCUAUAAGGCGCCAAACUACAGUACCCAUUAACCACUGCACGUUAAAUGACCCACGGCACAUGUCCCAUUGUUUACACCUGUUUCCUGUUUUACAUUGAUUAGUUUUUCUGUAUGUACCUUGUGUCCCAUAAUUUAGACCAUAGUCAGUAUGUUUUUGUGGGGUUUUUUUUUUUUUGUCACGCACACACAUUUUAUACUAGAAUUUAAAUCUUGUGCAACUAGCCAAUUAUGGUGUUGGUUCAUAUUGAUGGGCUUAAUUGUACUCACUGAUGGUACGACAUUUAUGAAGGUGGUGAUUAUUUGUCUUUUUUCAUUUAUUAUAAAAAAUAAAUCAAUGAACACAAGCACUAAUAGCUCUGUUAAUCUUGUUUAUGGUGUAGUCAUGCUGACAUACUGUACAUGGUGUGUUCAUGUGAAAUAAUAUUUUAAAUCAUGUCAGCUAAGGAAAACAAUGCAAAAUGUUUAUUUUAUGUAUAUCAAAAACGCAUGAAAAUAUGUCUAUAAAUAUUAAAGCAGGUCAAGCAGACAUAUUGCGUGUAUUUAUGCAUGUGAUGCUGUAAAUGUGUGUUAUAUAAGCACCUUUGUGCCUUGUCACCCUCUCAAUUUAUACAGUCAUGAGUCUUUGUGCUGUCAGUCUUUGUAGUGUUACACAAUCUUCAAAAGAUGGAAAGCAAAGUAGUACACAAUGUUCCUCUGUCCUAAAAAAUAGAGACCCCAUCAUCGUCAGCCAAAAGAGAGGUCACGUACCUAUCCAAGCCAAAGACUGGCUUCUAUUCUUCAAUCUCCUAUUGGCAGUAUAUGCUUUGAUUAUUGUCCUCAACUGUUCUUUGUUAGGGGCCUUUCCUUUCCCUGUGGCCGUUUUUGACACUCUGAUGUACAAUUGUGCCAUUUGGUCCUGAUUAUGGCUUGAA